UAAAUAGUGGUGAUGUCAUGCGGGCAAGAUGGCGGAAGGGGAGGACGUGGGAUGGUGGCGGAGCUGGCUGCAGCAGAGCUACCAGGCAGUCAAGGAGAAGUCCUCCGAAGCCUUGGAGUUCAUGAAGCGAGACCUGACAGAGUUCACCCAGGUGGUCCAGCAUGACACGGCCUGCACCAUUGCAGCCACAGCCAGUGUGGUCAAGGAGAAGCUAGCUACUGAAGGCUCCUCGGGGGCAACAGAGAAGAUGAAGAAGGGGUUGUCUGACUUCCUAGGGGUGAUCUCCGACACCUUCGCUCCCUCACCAGACAAGACCAUAGACUGCGAUGUCAUCACCCUGAUGGGCACACCCUCUGGCACAGCUGAGCCCUAUGAUGGCACCAAGGCUCGCCUCUACAGCCUGCAGUCAGACCCGGCAACCUACUGCAAUGAACCAGAUGGGCCCCCGGAAUUGUUUGACGCCUGGCUUUCCCAGUUCUGCUUGGAGGAGAAGAAGGGGGAGAUCUCAGAGCUCCUUGUAGGCAGCCCCUCCAUCCGGGCCCUCUACACCAAGAUGGUCCCAGCAGCUGUUUCCCAUUCAGAAUUCUGGCAUCGGUAUUUCUAUAAAGUCCAUCAACUAGAGCAGGAGCAGGCCCGGAGGGAUGCCCUGAAGCAACGGGCAGAACAGAGCAUCUCUGAAGAGCCUGGCUGGGAGGAGGAAGAAGAGGAGCUUGUGAGCGACUCACCCACCUCUGCAAAAGAGGCAAAGAUUCCUGUGGCCAAAACCUCCACAUCCCCUGAAGGAGGACCUGGCCCCCUGAGCCCCUGUGAAGAGAAUCUGAUGACUCCGGCCGAGCCUCCAACAGAGGUGACUCCCUCAGAGAGCAGUGAGAGCAUCUCCCCCGUGACCCAGAUCGCCAAACCUGCCACUGCAGCUGAGGCACCCGUGUUGCCCAAGGACCUGUCCCAGAAGCUGCUAGAGGCAUCUUUGGAGGAACAGGGCCUGGCUGUGGAUGUGGGUGAGACUGGACCCCCGCCCCCAGCUCAGUUCAAGCCCCACACCCCUGCUGGCCGCCCCAGUGGCCCAGAGCCUAGGCCUCCAGCCAGAGUAGAGACUCUGAGGGAGGAGGUACUCACAGACUUACGGGUGUUUGAGCUGAACUCGGACAGUGGGAAGUCUACGCCCUCUAACAAUGGAAAGAAAGGAUCCCAGAAGCAUUUGUGGUGCCAGUUUCCUCACCCUUUCAUUUGUGAUACUGAUGAUGGUGACAGCUGCUAUCUGCUCAAGCACGGACAUCAGUGAGGACUGGGAGAAGGACUUUGACUUGGACAUGACUGAAGAAGAAGUACAGAUGGCACUCUCCAAAGUGGAUGCCUCUGGGGAGCUGGAAGAUGUAGAGUGGGAGGACUGGGAAUGAGGGGCCAGAGCGCGCAGCUCCCCCGCCCACAGAACCUCCCACCCCCUCGCUCACCUCAGCCCAGCCCUGGAAGACACUGACUGAGAAUGUCCCCCCAAUGGCUUCUGUCAACCAGACCUCUGGGUGGCUCUUUGCUGGUCUUUUGGGCCUCUGCUUACAUCUGGGAAGGGGCUCACUGAAUCCAAACCAGGAACUCUGACUUGUGCCAACCAUAGGAUGACUCAAAGGGGAGGAGCCCUACCCCCCUCACCAGAAGAGCCUACAUUUCUCUGCUGAACGCCCACUGUUCUUGGGGACUCUUGCUGGGAAGUCCCAAGGGGUAACUCUAGCCCUUCUAUCUGUGCAGGACCUAAGCACCAGUCUCUUGGAGGAAGCUGAGAGAACACUCUGUCCACCCAAAAGUAGGCAAGGAGGGCCAUCCCACCUGUCCUAGCUUGACAGGGAUGGCAAGCACAUUUUGGUUCCUAUCCCAGUGAGUGAGAGGCAUUCGUCUCUGGGAAAUUUGCCUCUCUUGGGAAUCUCCCCUUCCCAGGCAUUUUCCAUUCCCAGAAAGGUUCCUUGUGGUUCCAAAUCUAGAGACCAAACCCCAAGUUCUCACCUCUUCCCUUUCGUCCAGCCCAGGCUGGUAUGUCCCCAAUGCCUCUCCCAGGGCUUCUUCAUGUCAGAUGCACCCAAGUCCUUAGCCCAGCUGUGCCACCUGCAAGAGUCUGCUCUUGCAUUUCUUCCCCUCCCCAAGAAGGGAGGGGGUCACUUCAGGCCCUUCUGUGCAUUGCCUGGCGGGAUACUUUGUCCAACCAGCUACCCACCUCGACCCCCCUGUAGCUUAGGACACAAGCCAGCUACCGGCGGUACAGAGCAACGAUCAAAGCUGAGUCCUUACAACUCUGGUAAGCCCAACUUCUCCACCUCAGCCCUUCUGCUGCUUGAAGGGAUAUGCUGGGGGUGAACUUGAGACUCUUAUCAGGCUUCUGCAAAAGCUCUUCUUCCUGAAGAUAGACCCGGUCUUUGUGGCUCUCACCCUUUGCUCUGGUAAAGCUGUUCCUCUCUUGGAGGACUGAGGGGCUGCAGGAAUCCCUGGAGACCCUGGUGCUUCAUGAUGCUGCUCUGGUGAUUCUUGUACAUAAUCUGGUGUAUUCACCAAUGAUUUAAAGGGAUUGUGGUCAGGUACGCCAAGAGAGUGGUGGUCAGUUCCACUUGAAACCUUCAGUGAGGGGGGUGGGAUGGAGAGAAUCUUUUUUUUUUUUUUUUUUUUUUUUUUGAUGGGA